rnacentral:tRNA from 1 species
UCCUCGGUAGCUCAAUCGGCAGAGCAAUCGGCUGUUAACCGAUGGGUUGUAGGUUCAAGUCCUACCCGAGGAGCCA